rnacentral:rRNA from 1 species
GAUGAACGCUGGCGGCGUGCCUAAUACAUGCAAGUCGAGCGAACAGACGAGGAGCUUGCUCCUCUGACGUUAGCGGCGGACGGGUGAGUAACACGUGGAUAACCUACCUAUAAGACUGGGAUAACUUCGGGAAACCGGAGCUAAUACCGGAUAAUAUUUUGAACCGCAUGGUUCAAUAGUGAAAGACGGUUUUGCUGUCACUUAUAGAUGGUUCCGCGCCGCAUUAGCUAGUUGGUAAGGUAACGGCUUACCAAGGCAACGAUGCGUAGCCGACCUGCGUGGGUGGUCGGCCACACUGGAACUGAGACACGGUCCAGUCUCCUACGGGAGGCAGCAGUAGGGAAUCUUGCGCAAUGGGCGAAAGCCUGACGGAGUAACGCCGCUUGAGUGAUGAAGGUCUUCGGUUCGUAAAACUCUGUUAUUAGGGAAGAACAGAUGUGUAAGUAACUGUUCACUUCUUGACGGUACCUAAUCAGAAAGCCACGGCUAACUACGUG